UUAGUUCUAAUGAUGAGAUAAGUUUUUACCUUGGGACACCUAUGAAAUGCCUUGAUUAGUGUAAUUUUGCGUUUCUGAAAUA
rfam:Drosophila busckii chromosome 3L sequence.